GACGAACGCUGGCGGCGUGCCUAAUACAUGCAAGUCGAGCGAAGUUUUUCUGGUGCUUGCACCGGAAAAACUUAGCGGCGAACGGGUGAGUAACACGUAAAGAACCUGCCUCAUAGACUGGGACAACUAUUGGAAACGAUAGCUAAUACCGGAUAACAGCAUUAACUGCAUGGUUGAUGUUUAAAAGUUGGUUUUGCUAACACUAUGAGAUGGCUUUGCGGUGCAUUAGCUAGUUGGUGGGGUAAAGGCCUACCAAGGCGACGAUGCAUAGCCGACCUGAGAGGGUGAUCGGCCACACUGGGACUGAGACACGGCCCAGACUCCUACGGGAGGCAGCAGUAGGGAAUCUUCCGCAAUGGGCGAAAGCCUGACGGAGCAACGCCGCGUGAGUGAAGAAGGAUUUCGGUUCGUAAAGCUCUGUUGUUAGGGAAGAAUGAUUGUGUAGUAACUAUACACAGUAGAGACGGUACCUAACCAGAAAGACACGGCUAACUACGUG
rnacentral:rRNA from 1 species